ensembl:snoRNA U3 Small nucleolar RNA U3
AAGACUGUACUUUCAAGGGUCAUUUCUGUAGUCUGUUACGAGACAAAUUUCUCUCAAUGCACAGAGCACAAAGUUAAGAGGUGAAGAGUAAAAACCAGAAAGGUAGGGAUGAUCCCCGUUCUCCCUGACUCUGA